UACGGGGGGGCAAGCGUUGUUCGGAAUUACUGGGCGUAAAGAGCUCGUAGGCGGCUUGUCACGUCGGAUGUGAAAGCCCGAGGCUUAACCUCGGGUCUGCAUUCGAUACGGGCUAGCUAGAGUGUGGUAGGGGAGAUCGGAAUUCCUGGUGUAGCGGUGAAAUGCGCAGAUAUCAGGAGGAACACCGGUGGCGAAGGCGGAUCUCUGGGCCAUUACUGACGCUGAGGAGCGAAAGCGUGGGGAGCGAACAGG
rnacentral:rRNA from 1 species